rnacentral:lncRNA from 1 species
CAUCAGCACAUCAUGUCAGAAGCUUGUUGAGGGUGCGAUGGACCAUCCCCCUGGAGCCUUCGAAACUGUACAGGAAGAUGACACACUGAGAGAAGAACAGAGGUUGAAGGAAAAAAGUAAAAGAAGAUAUGAGCAAAGAAGACAAGAGAAGACACAGAAAAGAAAUUGAAUAUGGAAAAUGAAUAUAUAUGUUGUUUAAAAAGCAUAUCUGAAUGACAAAGAAUGAAG